rnacentral:rRNA from 1 species
CAGCCGCCGCGGGAAUACAGAGGGUGCGAGCGUUAAUCGGAUUUACUGGGCGUAAAGCGUGCGUAGGCGGCUUCUUAAGUCGGAUGUGAAAUCCCUGAGCUUAACUUAGGAAUUGCAUUCGAUACUGGGAAGCUAGAGUAUGGGAGAGGAUGGUAGAAUUCCAGGUGUAGCGGUGAAAUGCGUAGAGAUCUCGAGGAAUACCGAUGGCGAAGGCAGCCAUCUGGCCUAAUACUGACGCUGAGGUACGAAAGCAUGGGGAGCAAACAGGAUUAGAUACCCCCGUAGUCCCUGUCUCUUAUAC